GCUCCGGUGAGUCGCGGUGGCCUAAUGGUCAAUGCGCUGGACUCCGGAUCGAGUGGUCCAAGUUCGAGCGCUGGCCGGAGUCA